UGAGAUUCCACCCUGAGGGACCUGGACAAGGUGGAGAAAUGGGUCCAUGGGAAUCUCUUGGGGUUGGCUCCCAGUUCCUUGUCUGCAAAGAGGGUCAGUGCAGGAGAGGGUGGUCUGGCUUCAUCCACCUACUCUUCAUUCAGAAACCUGCUGGAAGGAUCCCCGGAAUGCGAGGCUCAAUGAAUUGCCCUUUCUCUUCUCCUGCCACCAUAUCUGCAUUAUCCUUUGCUCUUGGCCAAGGUCCAUGACAUUGUCUCCAUUCCAGCAUGACACUGUGAGACCCAGAGCAGGACACAGAACUCAGUCAGCUAAAAUCAAGACUCUGUGCAUGACUUUGAACUACAAACUUCUGGCUUUCUCCCCACUGUAACUCAGUGAACCACCAGAGAUUCUGAUAUCCAAUAUCAGCAUAUGAUCUGACAUUUGGCAUCCCACCCACUGGAGCUCCAGGAAGCUGAGAGGCAUUUCCAGCUCUUCAUCCUUCUUAAAAAGAGGUGCUAAAAUCAUAAAUAUAUGGUAAAGUCAGGGAAAAUACAACCAUGGAAUGGCUGGGUUUGGGUGUGUAAGCCUGGGGGAAGGGCCAUAACUUAAUCCUGGAACAGGAUGAAUAUUGGAAGGUCCCCCAGAUCCAUCAGCAGAAAACACUUAUGAUGUUAAUAAACUCCUGCUUUCUCCUUGUCAAUAUGGCUUUAGCAAAAUCAACAGCAUGGGGCAUGGAGCUCCAACUGUAGUGUAUAAUAAGGGGGUGUUGUACAUUGCACAAAUAUUAUGAUUUAUUUUCAGAAGGAGAGAGAUGCCACAGAUCCUUGUGCUCUCAGGGACUCUAAUUUAUUGCCUAAUUAAACACUUGCUGCCAGAUUGUCCAUCCUGUCAUUUUUAAUUCCUGGUCUAAUACCCCAGACAAGAGAACACUUAAGGAGGCUCCCUUCCACAAGUGAGGCUUAAAUGAGGAAAGAUGUUAAUGUCUGUUUCCUAAUCAAAGUCAAUAGGCUAUCAGGAGCAAUUACUCUUUAGCAGGUCUGUUCUUCUGACACCAUGCAAUGUGUAUGAAUCUGCCAAGGUCUGGUGACACUUUAUCCCCUUGCUGUGAUGGCAGAAGGCAAGGCUAGCAACUCAAAGCUCAGAGGAACCCUUGGCAAGACAUGCAGGCAACAGGGACAAGCAGAACAUGUUUCUUUUUCGCCUGAAACUAGAUUUUCUUCCUUCUAGAAGUGUUGUUUGGAAUGAAUGCUAAGGCAUCUUGAGGCAAGGGAGACCUGAGGACAUUUUAUUUUAGACUACCAAGUGCUCUCACUGCCUUGUAUAUUUUUUCCCUUUCUUCAUUCCUCUGAGAUGGCGACACUGGGCCUAACCCUGAGUUUUACAGAGUCACAGCUCUUCUCCAGGUCUGUCCUAGAAGCCUUACACAGGACUGCAAAAAAAGUAAAAUUUGAGAGAGAAAUACAUUUGAGAAAUUCAGCCUCUCUUGAUUGGAACCCCAGCUUUGUCCCUGUAGGUUGCUGACACGCUGCUUUUAAGUCCCUUCAAAGUCUUAAUUUCUCCAGGAUACACCCUCCUAGCUCUCUCACCCCCUCCUCAGCAGCAUGUGAUGAUCUUCUUGUCCUUUAGGUGCCUGGAAAUAAGUUAUAUGAAGCUUUGCUCUGUAAUUUUCCCAGGAAAUUAUGAUGAUAAUCUUAUAAUUCCCUGCAUCCUUCUUCUUGCCUGUUUUGAAAGUGGGCAUGAGGCUUCACAGCCUCUGGUUUUGGCUUUCCCUUCACUGUACAUCCCUUUGCCCAGUGUCUCAGUGGAUAAUCGGGUUGGAUUUGCCAUGGUUUUUGUUGGAGUGUGGCUACUGUGGUGUCUUCCUUGAGAACCUUGCAGAAGCUUCCCUUUUGUCUGAUGUGGGCUGUGGAGAAAUGAGCCCGUGCCAGGUUUGCUGGCAGAAAUUGUGAAUUUGUGGCUGAUCUGUGUUCCUGAAGGACCGACCCCCUGGGAGGGACCCACAGUGCAGCAGUUUGGGAAGAACUGAAACCCAUGGCUUGUGUUGGAGAAUUUCCUGGAGGAGUUUCUCACAUGGGAGGAACCCCACACUGGAGCAGGAGAAGAGUGUGAGAAGUUCUGCCUCUGAGGAGAAAGAAUGACAGAGAAAAUGGGAUGAACCGACCAUAACCCCCCUUCCCUUCCUCUACAGCACUGAGGUGAGGGUAGGUAGAGAAAUCGGGAGUGAAGCUGAGCAUGGGAAGAAGAGAGAGAUAAGGGGAAGGAAUUUUUAAGCUUUGGUUAUACUCCUCUGCUGUGACUGAUAAUAAAUUCUAUUUCCUUGAGUGGACUCUGUUUUGCCCAUGACAACAAUUUCUGAGUGAUCUCUACCUGUCCUUAACCUGAUCCAAAAGUCUUUGAUAUAUUUUCUCUCCCCUGUCCACCUGAGGAGGGAAGAGAGAGAAGUUUUGGUGAGCACCUGGUAUCCAGCCAGGGUCCACCCAGCACAAUAUUGCAUCCAGAAUGUCAGAAAAAGUGUGCUCAAAUUCUGUGCCUCCUGAUGUUGGUCAUCCACUGUGAAAACCUCUUCACAGAUUCUCCCACCUGAACAGGAAGGUCUGGCAAGGUCGUGGCCACAGCCUCAUUUCUCUUUGGAUCCAGCAGUAGCAGGAAAAAAAAUUGCAAUGCCUAUGAAAGUGUCAGC